UACAGAGGGUGCAAGCGUUAAUCGGAAUUACUGGGCGUAAAGGGUGCGUAGGCGGCGCGACAAGUCAAUGGUGAAAGCCCGAGGCUCAACUUCGGGUCGGCCACUGAUACUGUUGGGCUUGAGCACUGUAGAGGCAGGUGGAAUUCCGGGUGUAGCGGUGGAAUGCGUAGAGAUCCGGAAGAACACCGGUGGCGAAGGCGGCCUGCUGGGCAGUAGCUGACGCUGAUGCGCGACAGCGUGGGGAGCAAACAGG
rnacentral:rRNA from 1 species